GGUAUAGCUCAGUGGUAGAGUGUGUGCUUAGCAUGCACAAGGUGCUGGGUUCAAUCCCAGGCACUGCCA
rnacentral:tRNA from 1 species